UACAGAGACUGCAAGCGUUAUUCGGAUUCACUGGGCGUAAAGGGUGCGCAGGCGGCCGAGUGUUGUGAGGCGUGAAAGCCCGGGGCUUAACCCCGGAAUUGCACCUCAAACUACACGGCUAGAGCAUUGGAGAGGGUAGCAGAAUUCAUGGGUGUAGCAGUGAAAUGCGUAGAUAUCAGGAGGAACACCGGUGGCGAAGGCGGAUCUCUGGGCCUUACCUGACGCUCAGGUGCGAAAGCUAGGGGAGCAAACAGG
rnacentral:rRNA from 1 species